AAAUUGAAGAGUUUGAUCAUGGCUCAGAUUGAACGCUGGCGGCAGGCCUAACACAUGCAAGUCGAACGGUAACAGGAAGCAGCUUGCUGCUUUGCUGACGAGUGGCGGACGGGUGAGUAAUGUCUGGGAAACUGCCCGAUGGAGGGGGAUAACUACUGGAAACGGUAGCUAAUACCGCAUAACGUCGCAAGACCAAAGAGGGGGACCUUAGGGCCUCUUGCCAUCGGAUGUGCCCAGAUGGGAUUAGCUAGUAGGUG
rnacentral:rRNA from 1 species